GAGCUGGUCCUUUGGGGCUGUGGUGCCACCAGCUGUACAGAGUGGGGCUCAGUGGCAGCAGCCCCUUCAGACAGGCU
rnacentral:miRNA from 1 species